GAACGGAAACGAUGGGAGCUUGCUCCCAGGCGUCGAGUGGCGGACGGGUGAGUAAUACUUAGGAAUCUACCCAGUAGCGGGGGACAACUCGAGGAAACUCGAGCUAAUACCGCAUACGCCCUACGGGGGAAAGCAGGGGAUCUUCGGACCUUGCACUAUUGGAUGAGCCUAAGUCGGAUUAGCUUGUUGGUGAGGUAAAGGCUCACCAAGGCAACGAUCCGUAGCUGGUCUGAGAGGACGAUCAGCCACACUGGGACUGAGACACGGCCCAGACUCCUACGGGAGGCAGCAGUGGGGAAUAUUGGACAAUGGGGGCAACCCUGAUCCAGCAAUGCCGCGUGUGUGAAGAAGGCCUGCGGGUUGUAAAGCACUUUCAGUAGAGAAGAAAAGCCUACGGUUAAUACCCGUGAGUCUUGACGUUACCUACAGAAGAAGCUCCGGCUAACUCCGUGCCAGCAGCCGCGGUAAUACGGAGGGAGCGAGCGUUAAUCGGAAUUACUGGGCGUAAAGCGCGCGUAGGCGGCUUUGUAAGUCGGAUGUGAAAGCCCUGGGCUCAACCUGGGAAUGGCAUUCGAUACUGCAGAGCUAGAGUAUGGUAGAGGGAAGUGGAAUU
rnacentral:rRNA from 1 species